CUAAGAAUAUUCCGCAAUGGACGGAAGUCUGACGGAGCGACGCCGCGUGGAUGACGAAGGCCGAAAGGUUGUAAAGUUCUUUUGCUGGGGAAGAAUAACCGCAGGAGGGAAUGCCUGUGGGAUGACAAGAACCGGCGAAUAAGCCCCGGCCAACUACGUGCCAGCAGCCGCGGUAACACGUAGGGGGCGAGCGUUGUUCGGAAUUACUGGGCGUAAAGGGCAUGUAGGCGGCUUGGAAAGCCUGGCGUGAAAGUCUGCAGCUUAACUGCAGGGGUGCGCUGGGAACUGCUGAGCUUGAGUGACGGAGAGGGAGCUGGAAUUCCUGGUGUAGGGGUGAAAUCUGUAGAUAUCAGGAAGAACACCGAUGGCGAAGGCAAGCUCCUGGCCGAUGACUGACGCUGAGGUGCGAAAGUGUGGGGAUCAAACAGGAUUAGAUACCCUGGUAGUCCACACAGUCAACGAUGUGCACUAGGUGCUGGGGCGGUAGCUUCGGUGCCGGAGCGAACGUGGUAAGUGCACCGCCUGGGGAGUAUGCUCGCAAGGGUGAGACUCAAAGGAAUUGAC
rnacentral:rRNA from 1 species